GAUGAACGCUGGCUGCGUGCCUAAUACAUGCAAGUCGAGCGAACAGACGAGGAGCUUGCUCCUCUGACGUUAGCGGCGGACGGGUGAGUAACACGUGGAUAACCUACCUAUAAGACUGGGAUAACUUCGGGAAACCGGAGCUAAUACCGGAUAAUAUAUUUAACCGCAUGGUUCAAUAGUGAAAGACGGUUUUGCUGUCACUUAUAGAUGGAUCCGCGCCGCAUUAGCUAGUUGGUAAGGUAACGGCUUACCAAGGCAACGAUGCGUAGCCGACCUGAGAGGGUGAUCAGCCACACUGGAACUGAGACGCGGUCCAGACUCCUACGGGAGGCAGCAGUAGGGAAUCUUCCGCAAUGGGCGAAAGCUUGACGGAGCAACGCCGCGUGGGUGAUGAAGGUCUUCGGAUCGUAAAACUCUGUUAUUAGGGAAGAACAAAUGUGUAAGUAACUAUGCACGUCUUGACGGUACCUAAUCAGAAAGCCACGGCUAACUACGUG
rnacentral:rRNA from 1 species